GAAAUUAAACCUUGUGCCCGGCUGUUAUCUGCAAAAAAUUUCGUCAACUGCUUAUUGCUUUGGCUUCUAUUCUUUGAUUUAGUCCCUUGUUGGUAUUUGUUAACUACAGAACUAAAGGAACAAGCUAUUUGUUAACAUUAGUAGAAUGCUCUUGUUUUGCUUUCCAACAGCUUAUGUUAGCCUGGAAACUGGAAGUGGAAAAUCAAUGUUUGGAAUUUUACUCAGUCAUCGUCACUGUAUAAUGAUAACUAAGUGGUUGGAUGCCUGCUAGAUUAGAUCCACAGAACUCAAGCGUACAAGUGAUUCAUACUUGGACUAGGAGUUCUCUUAGUACUGUUUUGUUGCUGCAGUUUCUUUUGAUAAUUUUUUUUGUCGUAAAGUUGCUCUAUUAGGUGCCAGUUUCACUAUUUUAACUCUGGUAAGUGAUUCUUCUGCUUUUAAGAGUACGCCCAUGGUUAUCUAGUUAUGUAAGAUUUCAAGGCCUGCAAGUAAUGCAAUCUGAGAUUGCGCAUGUCAGGUUUCUGGGUAUGGUGAGUCUAUUGCUCAUGUCUCAAUUGUUCCAAAAAGAAAGUUAUUUUUUUGUAAUUAUAGACAAUUUAACUUGAGAAAAUCUCUUUGUAUCCAAAUAAAAUGAUUUAUAGUAAUGCAAAUGGUCAAGGAGUAUUUUUAUGUCACAAAUAUCACCUAUCUCCCUUUUUUAAAAACGUGUGUCAACUCAAACAAUGUCACCUGCAAGUUUUGGCAUGCUUCUUUAAAUUAAACAUUAAGCGUCCUCGCAAUUACCAAAAUGAGUAUUAAGUGAAAUUGUUGAGUUGUACUUGAACUAACUUGGAUUGAAAUUUGAAACACACAAAAGCUAGUUUGGUUACUUCUAUUACAUCUUUUUUUUUUUUUUAAUUUAUAAAACAGCAUGCCAACUGAAACACAACCAAUUCAACUGAUAAUUAAUAAUGGAUUAAGUAGCAAUCAAACACUCGUUAUUUCUUCUACCAUAAGACGAUCGCCAACCUUAACAGAGGUUUUUGCGUUUUGAAUUAGCACAUUUAGCAAAUUGGGUUGGAGAAAUAGUUUUUGAUAACAAUUUUAUCAUCUUGAGAAGGUCGAGAUAUACUUUUUUUUAUCAACAUUUAUCAUUGGAUCUUCUUAGUCAGGUUUGGAAGUAAGGUAAUGAUAUUCUCCGUCCUAAUUAACAUAAGAUGGAGUGAAUUGGGUUAUACUUAUUUUCGCCUAAGUGAUGACUGGGUUACUUUACUUUGUGAAGUGCAGUAAAGUAAAAAAGACAAUUCUUUUUACGUGGAAAAACACCCGGCUCACAAGGUGAAAAAAACCACGACCUACACCUCUGUAGGAUUUUCCCCCAAAUUCACUAAAAUAAGUGAGCCUCAAUAAUAGUUAAAUUACAAGAGUUGUAACCUAGGAACUAACUAUAUGCAACAACCUUAACAGAUUGUUGCUUCCCUCUUCAAGUUAUAAUACCCUUAACUUGAAGCUAAGUUUUCCUAUUUUGUUUAUCCCUAGCUACGCAGUUGCUUUUAAAAAGCUGAAAUAGUACAACUCGAUCAUCACCUAAUACAAGAAUUCUAGACCCAAAAACCAUCAAGUAUGAAACAAGUUCUUCAAUCAACAAGUCAGAACUUCUUCUCAAAUAUACUCUUGCUUAUUUGCUUGAGUUCAGCCUUUAGCUCUCAGUAUAUAUCGAAACGUACGAUAUGCGCUUUUAUACUCGUACGUGAAAGUUCGGUUGAUCACAAAUACCAUGUAAGAUUAAACCCAUCUUGUAGUAAUGUUUAGAUGAGGACAACUUCUCCUGUCUAUCAUCAAAACUUCAUUAGAUCUGAUAAAUAUAAAUUGUGUUAAAUAGAUAUCAUGUGUAUGAAUUAAAAGUAUAUUUAUUAUUAAGAAAAAUAGACUUGAAGAGAAUGAUAGUUUAAUAGAUUUUUGAAAAACAUAAUAAUAUAUAGUUGAAUUAAAGUAAAUUUAGUAGGCAAAUUGUAAAAUGUUGAUAAGUUGGAUGACUUUUCGAGGGAACUAACUUCACUCAUUUUAUAUUUUUUUUGACGAAAAUAAAUGAUUGCAACCUUAACACUUUAGUACAAAAUACUUAAACAAGAAGAUAGUAUUUGCUACCACUCCGUUCUAGCCACCUAAGAGUAGUCAAAGAAAGAGAAGAAAACAAAAAAAAAAAAAAAAAAAUGGCCUUGUCACAGAGCCAACUUGAAGAGGCUAUGAGCCCUGCUAGGUUUGAAGCACAUGCAGCUUCUGUUGGAGCUCACAGUAGUGCAGUCACUGAGCCCAUCUUACCAUCAUCAUCCAUCUUAACAAAGGACAAAUCUUUUUCUUCUGCUGCAAGUCCAAUCAACUCCUUGCUUGCUGGCGAAAAAAUUCAAUUUGGUAACCUGCCUUGUCAUUUCAUAUGUAUGUAUCUCAAGUUAUGAUUAUUUCAUACGUAUAAUCUAAUCCCUCCGCUUACCAGGUGCUGUUACAUCCCCAACCGUCCUUCAUACUAGUAGUCGUGUUGUUUCACAUGGGAUUGGAGCUCCAGGGUCUAAUUGAUCUGAAGUACAAAUUUCCCGUAAUAUUUCUCCAGAUGAAAGUGAUUGUACCCUUUUCUUUGAGAAAGAUAAACGUGCAAAUGAUCCAUGUCUAAAUGUACAAGAUUCUGAGGCUGAAGCAGAAGCAGCUGCUUCUGCUGUUGCUGUAGCAGCUAUCAGCAGUGAUGAAAUUGUCGGGAAUGGACUUGGCUCUGCUAUUUCAGAAGCUAAAACUUUUGAAGGUACAGAAUUUGCAAUGCCCAAAUGUGCUUUGUUUAUCAUCUGAUGGUUCUGACAGUUGCCUGUAUUAAUCAGUCUGUGUUAUGGCAGGUGAUCAGCAAUUGAGCAGCCAAUCACGGGCAGAAGAGUCUCUUAGUGUAUCUCUUCCUGCUGAUCUCAAUGUUGAGACUCCUCCGAUAUCAUUGUGGCCGCCCCUACCAAGUCCCCAGAAUUCUUCGAGCCAAAUCCUAUCUCAUUUUCCUGGUGGCCCGCCGUCACAUUUUCCUUUCUAUGAGAUGAAUCCCGUGUUGGGCGGUCCUAUUUUUGCCUUCGGUCCACAUAAGGAGUCGGCUGGCUCCCAAUCACAGUCACAGAAAGCUACCGUGUCUAGCUCAGGUCCACUUGGUGCAUGGCAACAAUGCCAUUCUACGCUAGACUCAUUCUACGGUCAUCCAGCAGGGUUCACUGGCCCUUUCAUAAGCCCACCUGGAGGUAUCCCUGGAGUUCAAGGUCCGCCACACAUGGUGGUCUAUAAUCAUUUUGCUCCAGUUGGACAGUAUGGCCAGGUUGGAUUAAGCUUUAUGGGUACCACUUAUUUACCUUCUGGAAAGCAGCCUGAUUGGAAGCACACACCCUCAUCCUCCGCAAUGGGCAUCACUGAGGCGGAUAUGAAUAAUGUAAAUAUGGCUGGUUCUCAGCGAAAUUUAUCGAAUAUGCCUGCUACCGUCCAGCACCUUGGUCCUGCUUCACCAAUUAUGCCCAUAGCUUCUCCUCUGAUGUUUGAUGUGUCUCCUUUCCAGGUAAGGAAUGCCAUACCAUCAUUGAUGUUAACAAAAAAAAGGGCUUGUAGAAUAUUUCACCCCAUCGUAGUGGAGUAUACUUGUCUAUUUUAGUUGCUCACUUCUUUUUGAUUUUGAAAUAUUCAUAAUUGUCUUCAUUUCUUUCAUCUUGUGUAGAACUUAUUGAUUAAUUUCUAAGAAUAUAGACUCUGUAAUGCCUUAGAUUUUUGUUAUAUGAUCUAUUAGUGCAAGCAGUUCUCUCAUAUAACAUUUUACUUUGCUUUUGGUUUCAACUCAGUCUUCACCUGAAAUGCCAGUCCAAGCUCGCUGGUCUCAUGUCCCUGCAUCGCCUCUUCAUUCUGUUCCCAUUUCUCACCCCUUGCAACAGCAAGCUGAAGGUGUAUUGCCUCCUAAAUUUGGGCACGGUCAUUCGAUUGAUAAGUCAUUGAAUACCAAUAGGUUUUUGGAAUCUCAUCCUCCAGAAUCCUCUGAUGGUACCCCCAGUUUUACCGUUGCGACAGUUGCCAAUGCAGCUCAGUUUCCUGUUGAAAUUGGUCUUGGAGAUUCCUCCAAGUCGGGGGCUACUGUUGGUUCUGCUCAGAGUCUGGCCAGUCAAAGCUCCUCUGGAUGUGCUAAUGCAGAUGCUGGCAAAAUUGAUGCUCUCAGAAAUGGCAUCAGCAACAGUGGUAAAGAUCAAGGUGUCAGUGGUUUCAAAACGCACACCCAGCAGAAGAAUACCUCUGCAGGCUACAACUAUCACAGGGGUGGUGGAAUGUCUCAGAGAAAUAUGGCUGGAAAUGAUUGGUCCCAUCGCAGAAUGGGUUUCCAUGGCAGAAAUCAGUCCUUGGGUGCGGUUCCAUCUACUAAGGUGAAACAAAUAUACGUGGCUAAGCAAACCCUUGGUGGGACAAAAACCACGGGAGGAGAAAACCACAUGGUUGUUUAGAGAUCUUGAUAGGUAAGGAAGGAUCUGUUAUGAGUAUUAUGUCAGUGGGACAAUCAAGCUAGUUUUGGUACCUUCUUGCAUUUAUGGCCUCUGAAAAUAACUUAAUUUGGACUUUAGAUAAUUGGUUGGUGAUUAUAGUGAUCCUCUCAAUUUUGUCCGGAAUAUGGAUUUACUAAGUUGUGGUUUGGCUGCUGAGAUUUGAAAUUAAACCUUGUGCCCGGCUGUUAUCUGCAAAAUUUUCGUCAACUGCUUAUUGCUUUGGCUUCUAUUCUUUGAUUUAGUCCCUUCUUGGUAUUUGUUAACUACCAGAACUAAAGGAACAAGCUAUUUGUUAGCAUUAGUAGAAUGCUCUUGUUGUGCUUUCCAACAGCUUGUGUUAGCUAGCCUGGAAAAUGAAUGUUUGGAAUUUUACUCAGUCAUCGUCACUGUAUAAUGAUAACUAAGUGGUUGGAUGCCUGCUCGACUAGCUCAACAGUACUUGAGCGUACAAGUGAUUCAUGCAGGGACUAGGAGUUCUCUUAGUACUGUUUUGUUGCUGCAGUUUCUUUUGAUAAUUUUUUUGUCUUGAAGUUGCUCUAUUAGGGGACAGUUUCACUAUAUAACUCUGGCAAGUGUUGUUAAAUGAAAAAUGAUUUUUCUGCAUUUAAGAGCACGCCAAUGGUUAUCCAGAUAUAUGAGUUUUCAAGGCCUGUAAGUAAUGCAAUCUGAGAUUGCGCAUCUCAGGUUUCUGGUAUGGCGAGUCUAUU
rnacentral:lncRNA from 1 species